rnacentral:lncRNA from 1 species
UCAAUUGUAAUAUUAUUGCUGAUAUGUAAAUAAGACUUGAGAUGAGAGUCUUAUAGAAAUACAUAUAAUCAUCAUAGUCACACACCAAUAGAAUGGUUACCAAAACAAAAAACAAUACAUGUAUGCAUUUUGUCCAAAAAUAAAAUGUAUACAUAUUAAUUAGAUAUGAAACGAAGGACAAAAACAAAAACUGUCAAUAUACUUAUAGCACAUAUGCUCUUAAGCCUCUAAGCUCUACAUCCCAUGUAGCAGAAAAAAUUGACAUGAAAGU